UCUGAAGGCUGCAGGCUUAUGAAUAAUAUGUUUGAAAGCACAAAUAAGCACAUUCUGUCUAGGAUGUGUCUCAAAACAUCCAUCCGUCUCAAAACAUCCAUCUCUGGGCAGUUUAUAAUAACAUAAAACAGAUUAAAAAUGAAAACUUUUAAACAAUUUAAAACUGUUAAAAAGCUUGGGUGAAAAAAUAAGUCUUUCAAUUUUUUUUUAAAGCUUGGGAGCAAUAGGGAGGCUCUUAUUUCAGCAGGGGGAUGCAUUCCAGAGUCUUGGGACGGCAACAGAGAAGGUCUGUCCCUGCAUAGCCACCAGCCGAGCUGGUAGCAAUUGUAGAAAAACCUCUCCAGAUGAUC